CAGACCGGUCUCAAGAUGGCCGCCGCAGCAGCCGAGCGGAGCCUGAGCGCAGGCUGAGGGGAAGCCGGCGACGGCACUCCCAUGUCCUUGCAGCAUCGUCUGAUCGCUUCGUUUACUGCGAGCCGAGGUGCCCUCUAUCCUCCCGUCUCUCCGAACGGCGGCCGCCGAGCAGCAGCUAUGCUGCGCCCUUUGCACCAGUAGGAAGCCCCCCCUCCCGACAUGGAACCGUCCGAGCUGCAGAGGGAAGAUGAUGCUGAUGUAGCUUCUGAAGAUUCUGAACUGGAGAACUAUUCUGAUGAAUCCAGCAUUGAAGGUUUUUAUGGAACUUCACCGCCUAGUACCCAAAGGCAGAUGAAACGCAUGUCAACUAAACAUCACAGGAAUAAUUUGGGGAAAACAGUUAGUCGUUCUGGCAGUAAAGAAAAGGUAACCAUACCAAAGCAUCCAACACCGAAAGACAAGACGAUUGAAAAUGUGGCAGUAUUCACUGACAAGCAAGAAAGGAAGCUGCGGUCCAAUAUGCGAACGACAGAAAGAGACCACAAGAAAACAGUGCAAUGUGCAUUUAUGCUGGAUCCGAUUACUGGGUCCUCCACAAAGACUUCAAUUCCCAACAAGCCUUACCUCUGCCUUGGCUGCAGUAACCCCAACCCUCCUGUCUCAGUGCCCCUUAGUAGACCCACACGGCAGACUUCCAGAACGGAUUGUCCGGCUGACCGUCUGAAAUUCUUUGAAACAUUGCGAUUACUACUUAAGCUUACCUCAGUUUCUAAGCGAAAGGAGAAAGAACAGAGAGGACAGGAAAAUACCUCAUACGAAUGGGGGAGCAGAACAAAUGAACUUAUCUGGCUGGAGCUGCAAGCUUGGCAUGCAAGUCGUAGCAUAAGUGAUCAAGAUGUUUACCUGUAUACAGCACGCCAGGCGGUCCCUGACAUUAUUAAUGAUAUAUUGAACUUCAAAGUAAAUUAUGGAAGCCUCGGUCAAAGUAAAGGUGGUGGUUAUGCUAAUGCUGCUGGAGUGGAUGACAUUUUUGAACAGAAGACUGAUUGUAUUCGGACUUCAGGAAUGCACUUCUUUGGUCAGAGUAAUUAUCAGGAGCAUCUUCAGUGUCAGAGGAUAGCAUGUGAGCAGGUGAAAAGUAUUAUGGAGCUGCUAGAGUCUGUGGAAGCACUUUACCCAUCAUUGCAGGCCCUCCAAAAGGACUAUGAGAGGUAUGCUGCAAAAGACUUUCAGAGCAGAGUGCAGGCACUGUGCUUAUGGUUAAAUAUAACUAAGGAUCUGAACCAGAAAUUGAACUUGAUGAGAACUGUAUUGGGCAUUGAGAAAUUGCCAAACAUUGGCUGGCCAGUGUUUGAAAUCCCAUCUCCUCGUCCUUCUGGAGCAAAUGACACAGACGAGGAAGGAGGUGAUGGCAAGAAUUGCUUACAGCCUUGCCCAUUGGAUAAUGAGCAGAGAGGUCAUGAAGAUGAAGUUACUGGGUCAGAAAAUGACAGGGAGCAUAGUUCUCAUAGGCAUAAAGAAGGGGUACAUGUUCACUUUCAUCCUUUGGAUAUUUUCCCAAAGAGGUUUGAGAGGUCUGUAUCUGAAGACGAAACGUCCUUAAUGGGAAAUCUGUCCUCUGAUUGCCCACCUGAUGCUGGUUUCAACAGGAAUUGUCAGAUGUCUAUUUAUAGACCUUUUGUUGAUAAAGCACUGAAACAAAUGGGACUACGGAAGCUAAUAAUGAGGCUUCACAAGUUAAUGGAUGGAUCUCUGCAAAGGGCACGAGUAGCACUGGAAAAAGAUGUUAGUACACUGGAGUUCUUUGCUGUUCCAGAGCCCUUAAGCUGUCAUGAUUACCUGCCCGAAUUAUCUCACACAUCGUCCUGCACAGAACAAAAGAAUAGCAGGGUGUCGUGGGACCAGUUGGAGGCCAUGGAACUCCCAUCGUUCCAGCCUGCCUACUUGGUCUUGUGUCGAGUGCUCCUCAACGUAAUUCAUGAAUGCUUGAAACUAAGGCUGGAGCAGAGACCUGCAGGGGAGCCAUCACUGCUGAGUAUAAAACAGCUGGUCAGAGAAUGCAAAGAAGUGCUGAAGGGUGGCCUACUCAUGAAACAGUAUUAUCAGUUCAUGUUGCAUGGGAUAAUGGAUGAAUUCCAGAGACAACAGAAGGUUGACAGUAAUAUUGAUGGAUUUGAGGAAGAUUUGCAUAAAAUGUUGAUGGUUUAUUUUGAUUACAUGCGGAGCUGGAUUCAGAUGCUACAGCAUUUACCUCAAGCCUCCCACAGUCUGAAGAAUCUUCUAGAAAUAGAAUGGAAUUUUACCAAAGAAAUAACCCCUUGUAUACGAGGAGGAGAAGCUCAAGCAGGAAAGCUCUUUUGUGACAUUGCUGGAAUGCUGCUGAAGUCAACGGGAGAGUUCUUAGAUUCUGGUCUCCAGCAAAGUUGUGAUGAAUUCUGGGCAAGUGCUGAUGAUAGUACAGCAUCAGAUGAAAUCAGGAGGUCCAUCAUAGAGACCAGUCGUGCACUUAAGGAGCUCUUCCAUGAAGCUCGGGAGAGAGCGUCCAAGGCUUUGGGUUUUGCUAAGAUGCUGAGAAAGGACCUAGAAAUAGCAGCUGAAUUUACUUUGUCGGCUCCUGUUCUGGUUUUUUUAGAAGCUCUUAAGAUGAAAAAAUAUGUUAAGGUUCUCAUUCCAGGACUGGAGGACCUGCAUAUUUUUGUUGCUUAUGAUCUCGCAGAGCGGAAGUCUCAGAUACUCCAACUGCUCAGUGCAACAGCUGGCAAGGAAUGUUCAAACGAAUCCGAUGAAUCAGUGGAUGAAGCGUACCUGCUCCUCAUCAAAGAUGAUCUGGACAACAAAGAGCAGGAAGAUGCCUGGAAAUUGUGGGCGGGCCAGUCCAUCAAAGUGCUGCCCCAGGUAGAAACUGUGGAUACAUUGAGAAGCAUGCAGAUUCAGAAUUUAUUGCUGGUUGUGAUGCAAUCUUCUCAUCUUGUAAAUCAACGCAAGACCUUUCAACAGUCCAUAGAAAAUCUAAUCUCACUGCACUGUGAACAAACGUCCAGCCAACCAGUCAUAGCCAAAGCUCUGGAGCAGCUGAAGCAUGCAGCAUUACUGCUAUGCAAUAGGAUUAGCAAUGCGAUUGACAGGAUUGACAAGAUGUUUAAUUCUGAGUUUGAGGCUGAAAUGGACGAAUCUGAAUGUGCAACUUUACAGCAAUACUACAGAGAAACUAUGAUUCAAAGCUAUAACUUUGGGUUUGAGUAUCACAAGGAGGUUGUGCGGCUGAUGUCUGGAGAAUUCAGGCAGAAGAUUGGAGACAAAUUUAUCAGCUUUGCUAGAAAAUGGAUGACCUUUGUGCUCACAAAAUGUGAAAGUGGGAGGGGAACAAGACCCAGAUGGGCAACGCAGGGAUUUGACUUCCUUCAGGCAAUUGAACCAGGAUUUAUCUCGGCUCUUCCAGAAGAUGACUUUUUGAGUUUUCAGUCUCUAAUGAAUGAGUGCAUCGGUCAUGUUAUAGGAAAGCCUCACAGCCCUGUAACAGGAAUUCAUCGAAAUAGCCCUCGUCCUAUUAAAGUACCCCGAUGUCACAGUGACCCACCCAAUCCACACCUCAUCAUCCCUACAUCCGAAGGGUUCAGUCCAAAGAGCCUUGGGUCUGAAGUGCGGAAUCUCUGCGUUGCCGGUAUGGUCCGCUCUCUUCCGGUAGUUGGGAGUGAUUUAAAUCACACCAAAUGUGCAGGCCCAGCAAAUGAAAUAAGGUGCUCGAGUGUCCCUGAAAAUGACCGUUUAGCGUCCAUAGCAGCUGAGCUUCAGUUCAAGUCACUGAGCCGACAUUCCAGUCCCACAGAAGAUCGUGAAGAGCCAACAUACCCUAAAGGAGAUCCAGGUGUGAGUGUGCGAAGAAGCUGGGAGCUUCGAUCUCUUUUAAGUCAGUCAAAAGACAUUACUGCCAAGCAGAGUCGAAUUGACAUUGUACGCAAGUCAAUUAAGUCCUUUGAAGAGCAGCAGGACUGCCAAAUGAAGCAAAAAAAUAUCAUCGGUCAGAUCUGUGACAUUCCUAAAUCUUAUGACAAUGUCAUGCAAGUUGGUUUAAGAAAAGUGACAUUUAAAUGGCAAAGAGGAAAUAAAAUAGGUGAAGGACAGUAUGGGAAAGUGUACACAUGUAUAAAUGUAGAUACUGGAGAAUUAAUGGCAAUGAAGGAAAUCAGAUUCCAGCCAAAUGAUCACAAAACAAUCAAGGAGACUGCAGAUGAAUUGAAAAUUUUUGAAGGUAUCAAACACCCAAACCUGGUUAGAUAUUUUGGUGUAGAACUUCACAGAGAAGAAAUGUACAUCUUCAUGGAGUACUGCGAUGAAGGCACCUUGGAAGAGGUAGCUAGGCUUGGUCUACAGGAGCAUGUAAUUCGAUUGUAUACCAAGCAGAUCACCACAGCUAUCAAUGUGCUACAUGAACAUGGAAUCGUGCACCGGGAUAUCAAGGGUGCCAAUAUUUUCCUCACCUCAUCGGGUCUGAUCAAACUGGGAGACUUUGGUUGUUCAGUUAAACUGAAGAAUAUUGCACAGACCAUGCCUGGUGAAGUGAACAGUACCCUUGGGACUGCUGCUUAUAUGGCCCCUGAAGUUAUCACCAGAGCAAAGGGUGAAGGACAUGGACGUGCUGCAGAUGUGUGGAGUCUUGGGUGUGUCCUUGUGGAAAUGGUCACAGGCAAGAGGCCUUGGCAUGAGUAUGAGCACAACUUCCAGAUCAUGUACAAGGUGGGAAUGGGUCACAAGCCUCCCAUCCCAGAACGGUUAAGCCCAGAAGGCAAGGACUUUUUGUCCUAUUGCCUGGAAAGCGAUCCAAAGCACCGGUGGACAUCUAGCCAACUUCUGGAUCACCCUUUUGUCAAGGUUUGCUGUGAUGAAGAAUGAGGCUGCCUGAUCAAAAGCUCGAAUGGUUUCCGACACACAAGAAGCAAUCACUACUGCAAGUGCCAAGAACACUCUCUAACCGUGGGCUACACGGACAGCUGACCAGGGUCACUGUACCACUGCUUCUGUGAAGCUGACAGUCUGAAACUGCACACGUUGGGCAUUUGACUGUCUAACAAAUUAAAAUAAGCUGCAUGCUCUAUUGGAAGUGCCAUUACUACUGUACAGACUGUUGUGGUUUCUCUCCCCAUCCCCCCGAUAACCCAUCCCCUUACUAUACCUUGCUUUUGGAAAACAUAAUACCCGGCUAUAGUAUUUCAAAUUUCUAUAGGUUCCAAAGUUUUGUGUUGUCAAAUAUUCUAAUUUGUAAAAUGUUUUUAUCCUGUUUGUUGUACUACAAACCUAUUAUAUCGUGGAAGAAGAAUGCACUGACUCCCAUGAACGUUUGCAUACUCAAGUUUAUUCUGCAGCAACUGUAGACUGAUUAAUGAAAUACAAUUGUUUUCCAAUAAAUUCUUUAUUUUAGGAAUACUGGUGAAGUGAGAAUGAAUCUACAUGGUUGGGGACCUUCCUUGCAUAACAUUUUGGUGUUUUGUUUCGUGGGAGAAAAAUGCAUAUUCAAUUAGAUUUAGCCAUUGCUUUACUAUUGAAGGAAUUGUAACAGUUUGGAGUAACUGCUUGGAUUUUUUUUUACAAAUACUGUGAUGAUCACACUUCAUUAUAGGUUAAAAUUCAAUCUGUUUUGUAAUCAACUCAAUCCAUAUUUGAACAGUUAUCCUCCUACAGUUGACUGCAUUCUUUGAAGACAUAAAAUUAAGGCUUCUGGAAACAGGUAGGGAAAUUAUGGAAACUAUGAUUAAAGAAAAGGAAGUAUUGGCACUUUUGUGGAAUAUAAAAGUGGAUAAGUCACCGGGUCCUGACAGGAUAUUCCCUAGGACCUUGGGGGAAGUUAGUGUAGAAAUAGCAGGGGCUCUGACAGAAAUAUUUCAAAUGUCAUUAGAAACACGCGAUGGUGCCCGAGGAUUGGUAUAUUGCUCUCAUCUUGUUCCAUUGUUUAAAAAGGGUUGUAAGAGUAAACCUAGCAAUUAUCAGCCUGUAAGUUUGACGUCAGUGGUGGAUAAAUUAAUGGAAAGUAUUCUUAGAGAUAGUGUAUAUAUAAUUAUCUGGAUAGACAGGGUCUGAUUAGGAACAGUCAACAUGGAUUUGUGCAUAGAAGGUCAUGUUUGGCAAAUCUUACUGAAUUUUUUGAAGAGGUUACUAGGAAAGCUGACGAGGGUAAAGCGGUGGAUGUUGUCUAUAUGGACUUCAGUAAGGCCUUUGACAAGGUUCCACAUGUAAGAUUAGUUAGGAAGCUUCAAUCAUUAGGUAUUAAUAUUGAAGUAGUAAAAUGGAUUCAACAGUGGCUGGAUGGGAGACGCCAGAGAGUGGUGGUGGAUAACUGUUUGUCAGGUUGGAGGCCGGUGACUAGUGGUGUGCCUCAGGGAUCUAUACUGGGUUCAAUGUUGUUUGUCCUAUACAUAAAUGUCUGGAUGAUGGGGUGGUAAAUUGGAUUAGUAAGUAUACAGAUGAUACUAAGAUAGGUGGAGUUGUGGAUAAUGAGGUAGGCUUUCAAAGCCUGCAGAGAGAUUUAGGCCAGUUAGACGAGUGGGCUGAAAGAUGGCAAAUGGAGUUUAAUGCUGAUAAGUGUGAGGUGCUACAUUUUGGUAGGACUAAUCAAAAUAGGAUAUACAUGAUAAAUGGUAGGGCAUUGAAGAAUGCGAUAGAACAGAGGGAUCUAGGAAUAAUGGUGCAUAGUUCCCUGAAGGUGGAAUCUUAUGUGGAUAGGGUGGUGAAGAAUGCUUUUGUUAUGCUGGCCUUUAUAAAUCAGAGCAUUGAGUAUAGGAGUUGGGAUGUAAUGUUAAAAUUGUACAAGGCAUUGGCAAGGCCAAAUUUGGAGUAUUGCGUACAGUUCUGGUCACCGAAUUAUAGGAAAGAUGUCAACAACUUAGAGUACAGAGAAGAUUUACAAGAAUGUUACCUGGGUUUCAGCACCUAAGUUACAGAGAAAGGUUGAACAAGUUGGGUCUUUAUUCUUUGGAGCGUAGAAGGUUGAGGGGGGACUUGAUAGAGGUAUUUAAAAUUAUGAGAGGGAUAGAUAGAGUGAUGGUGGAUAGGCUUUUUCCAUUGAGAGUGGGGGAGAUUCAAACAGGAGGACAUGAGUUGAGAGUUAGGAGGCAAAGGUUUAGGGGGAACUUCUUUACUCAGAGUGGUAGCUGUGUGGAACGGGCUUCCAGUAGAAGUGGUAGAGGCAAGCUCGAUAUUGUCAUUGGAAGUAAAAUUGGAUAACUAUAUGGACAGGAAAGGAAUGGAGGGUUAUGGGCUGAGUGCAGGUCAGUGAGACUAGGUGAGAGUAAGCAUUCGGCACAGACUAGAAGGGCUGAGAUGGCCUGUUUCCGUGCUGUAAUUGUUAUAUGGUUAUAUGGUUUUGAACAAGUUUACUGCAUCUGGCAUGUGUUCAGCUAUUGCUGGUAAAUCCACAAGAAAAACAUUUGUUUUAAUUACUGCAUUUGAACGGUUCAAAGGCUAAAUACUUCAGAAGCCAAAAAUGACUCAUGGAUGAGACACUAGUUCCGCUACAACAGCAGGGGAAUUGCAACAAAGUUUUUCAGUUUUAUAUUGAAAUUCUUAGUUUUAGGAUAAUUCUUCUGGAAUGCAGCUACAGUUCUGCAAGGAAUACACCAUCUUCCAAAAGACCAAGGAAGCUCUGGUGCUCAUCCCUAAUUAUUUUUGAGAACACCUUGUGUCAGUGCAGCUGGAAGCAGGCAGUGAACCAGUAACUGAGAGGUCAAGUGUGUAGCUGGGUGAGGUCCUAGGUGGCGAGGAUCCAAUAUGUUUGUUUAAUUUGCAGGUUUGGAAGGGAAUCUUCAACUACAGAGCACUGAAUCAAAAGUGCAGCUGUGGGAAUGUUCUCUGGUGUCAAAUCUCCCAUCAUACUCCUGCUUUACACCUUGCCAAAGGUGGAACUGAAUGAGUUAUUUCUUCUUCCUCUGAUCUGCUUGGCUACUUAAAUUUCAGUUCAGAGAAAUAAACCAUCACAGAAGUCCCAAGAAACGAUGAGGUGGUAUAAAUAAUGCACAACUUGCCCACACUGCACCAGAAUAUGUGGAUCCCGGAUCAGCCUCUACAGCAACCUGAGGACCCGCCAAUAGACAACCCCUUGGGAGAGCAUAAUAUUUGACUCGAGCAAUCCCACUACUGCUAUUUUUAUGGUUGAACCAUGAAUAGUCCUGCAAAACCCUACAACUAAAGUAUAGAUCUUAGCUGUUAAUUGUUUGCCAAUUGCCACCAGAGGGCGCUAUUGUACAUUAAAGCCACUGCCACCCCGAACUUGAGCCAUCGCUCACUGUCAAGUUAAUGCAGUCACCUCCUACUUGAGCUCAAUUUGAUGUUUGAUAUUUCAAUUCACUAAGUUCCAAAUAUCAAAAUAUUACCUAACCUAGCUUCAAAAUGCAACAAUAUCAGAGAUAACGCUCAACUUAUGAUUCCACUUAUGGUAUUUCCUUACAGCAUUAGCUUUUCAACAGAAAAUUUGCAGUGACCUGAAACUAUGUUAAUUGGAAGCUGAGGGUAUUUGAACAGCAUUCUCAAAAUUCAUUUUGAAUGGCCCAAGAACGUUAAUAGGGAUGCUACUAAAUUAAUGCUGGUGAAAUAGGUGCCAGAUCAAAUCAUGUUUACAAUUAUUCUAAGUAGCCACAGAAAGUCCAGCAAAUGCAAUUUGAUUCUUGCUUAAAGAUUGCUUGAAAUCUUGGAUUAAUGAGAAAUAUUAUGAGUGCAGAUGCACAGUCCUCAUUGUAAAUUUCAAACAAAGUUGGCCACAAAAACCCAGUGACAUCUGCUGUCAAUUCAGAGAGGCUGCUGAGGUCCAAGAACUGUGAUGUCAGUAAGAAGGUUCAACAGCUAAAUUAUACUGAAGACUUCUCAGUAAAGCAGGAAGGAAAAUGGCAGUUUUUAUUCAUCUACUUAUUGAAGGUAUGACAGCAGCUUAUUCAGCAUAAACUUUAUAUUUUAAAAUUGUUUAUACCUUGAAAUAUUUGACAAGGAGCAGAAUUAGGCCAAUCAUCAUUUCUUAUUUACAUUAUUAUUCUAAUGUAUUAUCCUUCUCAACUCCAUUCUCCCAUAACCUUUGACUCUUUGAAAUCUUCACUUUCAAUAUACCCAAUGUCUUAGCCUCCAUAACCAUUUGUGGAAUAAAAUUCUACAGAUUCAUCACCUUCUGGCUGAAGAGAUUCCUCCAUCUCUGUUCGAAAGCGACGUUCCUCUAUUGUGAGGUGUUACCCUCUGGUCCUAGACACCCCACUAUAGGAGACAUCCUCUCCACAUCCACGCUAUCAAUGAAAUCCCUGCCCCACCCCCAUUCGUCCAGACUCCAGCAGAUACAAGCCCAGUGCCACCAAAUGCUCCUCAUACAUUAACCCUUCAUUUCCAGGAUCAUUCUCAUGAACCUUCUCUGGACACGCUCCAAUGCCAACACAUUCUUCCUGAAAUAAGAAGUCCAAAACUGCUCCAAAACUAUUUCGGGCCAGAAUAGUUCUGACCAUAAUGAUGGCAAUUAUGCCUCAAGCAACAAAGACUGUGUAGAAUUACAAAACAAACAGUUCAGGAAUAUCAGGAAUUUACUGUUUUGAUAAAAUAACUAAACAAGGCUUACGGAAAACACCAAAUUUUGGAGUUCCAUUUUAAUCCAUGCUGCUGUAGAAAUCCUCACACUCCUUUCCCAGAUGGUGAAAUAAUCAGAUUUGUCAUCAAUGCAACUAUAAUAUUCAGACCAAUAGCUUGUUUACCAUAAUCAGGCUGAGGUAAUUAACAGCUUAUUUUAAUGAACAUAAGAGCUGCUGAUAGUUACUGCUUUUUAAAUGUAAAAUUCUAGAAAUAGUCAGCAAAUGACUGGACUUGGUGCACUGAACACACUGGAGUGCCUGGAAUUGUGAUGUGAAAUGUUUCACCACCAUCAAUGUAAACUGGUCCGAUCAAUCAAUCAUGAUUUUGUUUUUAGUAGAAUCAGCUCUGU